rfam:Pristionchus pacificus strain PS312 contig11605, whole genome shotgun sequence.
GGUAUCGGUGCCAGCUACCCGUAAUUUCUCGGACAGUUAGUGUGCCGAUUCGCACUGUCAAGAAAUAACGGGUUCCUGGCUAAGAUAACCA